UACGAAGGUCCCGAGCGUUGUUCGGAUUUACUGGGCGUAAAGCGUCUGUAGGCGGCGCGGCAAGUCAGAUGUGAAAGCCCGGGGCUCAACCCCGGAACUGCAUCCGAUACUGCCGUGCUUGAGGAUCGGAGGGGAGUCUGGAAUUCACGGUGUAGCAGUGAAAUGCGUAGAUAUCGUGAGGAACACUAGUGGCGAAGGCGAGACUCUGGACGAUUCCUGACGCUGAGAGACGAAGGCCAGGGGAGCAAAAAGG
rnacentral:rRNA from 1 species